GUGGGGAAUUUUGGACAAUGGGCGCAAGCCUGAUCCAGCAAUGCCGCGUGCAGGAAGAAGGCCUUCGGGUUGUAAACUGCUUUUGUACGGAACGAAACGGUCCGGGUUAAUACCCUGGGCUAAUGACGGUACCGUAAGAAUAAGCACCGGCUAACUACGUGCCAGCAGCCGCGGUAAUACGUAGGGUGCAAGCGUUAAUCGGAAUUACUGGGCGUAAAGCGUGCGCAGGCGGUUUUGUAAGACAGGCGUGAAAUCCCCGGGCUCAACCUGGGAAUUGCGCUUGUGACUGCAAGGCUGGAGUGCGGCAGAGGGGGAUGGAAUUCCGCGUAUAGCAGUGAAAUGCGUAGAUAUGCGGAGGAACACCGAUGGCGAAGGCAAUCCCCUGGGCCUGCACUGACGCUCAUGCACGAAAGCGUGGGGAGCAAACAGGAUUAGAAACCCCAGUAGUCC
rnacentral:rRNA from 1 species